rnacentral:rRNA from 1 species
UACGGAAGGCAGCAGUGGGGAAUAUUGCACAAUGGGCGAAAGCCUGAUGCAGCUAUGCCGCGUGUAUGAAGAAGGCCUUAGGGUUGUAAAGUACUUUCAUCGGGGAGGAAAAAACAAAACUAAUAAUUUUAUUUCUUGACGUUACCCGAAAAAGAAGCACCGGCUAACUCCGUGCCAGCAGCCGCGGUAAUACGGAGGGUGCUAGCGUUAAUCAGAAUUACUGGGCGUAAAGAGCACGUAGGUGGUUUUUUUAAAGUCAGAUGUGAAUCCCUGGGCUUAACCUAGGAACUGCAUUUUGAAACUGAAAUACUAGAGUAUCGUAGAGGGAGGUAGAAUUCUAGGUGUAGCGGUGAAAUGCGUAGAUAUCUGGAGGAAUACCUGUGGCGAAAGCGGCCUCCUAAACGAAUACUGACACUGAGGUGCGAAAGCGUGGGGAGCAAACAGGGAUUAGAUACCCGU